CAACAACGGAAAGGAGGUGGUCAGAUGUCUCAUUGUCCCACGCUACGUGCGGGAGAUUGUCUGGACAUGGCCUCCGCGGGGGUCAGGCUCUAAGCCUGCCGCAUAAGGCACAGACAAUGGAAGGGUCGUCCCGGCUGGGGCGGCCC
rnacentral:sRNA from 1 species